rnacentral:rRNA from 1 species
CCAGACUCCUACGGGAGGCAGCAGUGAGGAAUAUUGGUCAAUGGGCGGGAGCCUGAACCAGCCAAGCCGCGUGAAGGAAGAAGGCGCCAGGCGUCGUAAACUUCUUUUGUCGGGGAACAAAGGGCGCCACGCGUGGCGUUGUGAGUGUACCCGAAGAAAAAGCAUCGGCUAACUCCGUGCCAGCAGCCGCGGUAAUACGUAGGAGGCAAGCGUUAUCCGGAAUGACUGGGCGUAAAGGGUGCGUAGGUGGUUUGACAAGUUGGUAGCGUAACUCCGGGGCUCAACCUCGGCACUACUACCAAAACUGUUGGACUUGAGUGCAGGAGGGGCAAAUGGAAUUCCUAGUGUGGCGGUGGAAUGCGUAGAUAUUAGGGGGAACACCAGUGGCGAAGGCGAUUUGCUGGACUGUAACUGACACUGAGGCACGAAAGCGUGGGGAGCAAACAGGAUUAGAUACCCCAGUAUA